rnacentral:rRNA from 1 species
CCUACGGGUCGCACCAGUGGGGAAUAUUAGACAAUGGGCGAAAGCCUGAUCCGGCAAUGCCGCGUGUGUGAAGAAGGUCUUCGGAUUGUAAAGCACUUUCGACGGGGACGAUGAUGACGGUACCCGUAGAAGAAGCCCCGGCUAACUUCGUGCCAGCAGCCGCGGUAAUACGAAGGGGGCUAGCGUUGCUCGGAAUGACUGGGCGUAAAGGGCGCGUAGGCGGUUUAUGCAGUCAGAUGUGAAAUCCCCGGCCUUAACCUGGGAACUGAAUUUGAGACGCAUAGACUAGAGGUCGAGAGAGGGUUGUGGAAUUCCCGGUGUAGAGGUGAAAUUCGUAGAUAUUGGGAAGAACACCGGUGGCGAAGGCGGCAACCUGGCUCGAUACUGACGCUGAGGCGCGAAAGCGUGGGGAGCAAACAGGAUUAGAUACCCUGGUAGUC